rnacentral:tRNA from 1 species
GGAGAGGCUGUGGCUCAAUGGCAGAGCUUCUGCUUUGCACACAGAAGAUCCCACAUUAAACCCCUGCCAUCUCCA